rnacentral:rRNA from 1 species
CCUACGGGAGGCAGCAGUGAGGAAUAUUGGUCAAUGGCCGGAAGGCUGAACCAGCCAAGCCGCGUGAAGGACGAAGGUGCCAAGCAUUGUAAACUUCUUUUGUCAAGGGACAAAAUCAGGCUCGAGAGCCUGACCGAGGGUACUUGAAGAAAAAGCAUCGGCUAACUCCGUGCCAGCAGCCGCGGUAAUACGGAGGAUGCGAGCGUUAUCCGGAUUUAUUGGGUUUAAAGGGUGCGUAGGCGGACGCUUAAGUCAGCGGUAAAAUUGCGGGGCUCAACCUCGUCGAGCCGUUGAAACUGGGUGCCUUGAGUGGGCGAGAAGUACGCGGAAUGCGUGGUGUAGCGGUGAAAUGCAUAGAUAUCACGCAGAACUCCGAUUGCGAAGGCAGCGUACCGGCGCCCAACUGACGCUGAAGCACGAAGGCGUGGGUAUCGAACAGGAUUAGAUACCCGAGUAGUC